AAACAUUCAAAAUUUCCAGUGUGUAAUGAUAAACCCUUUUUGAUCCCUCGGCAUGUCGUUUUCGCCAUCGCUCAGCCUUGUCAGGCUGCAGGAUUUAAAGCAGUGGCAAGGCAGUUAUGACAACCUUCUUCAACAGUCGAGGAAUAAACCGGAAAAUCACAUCGAAACCGCUUCUCAGCAGGAUAGCUUUAAUUCAGUGAAUCUCGGCGAAUGGGACCAGAAGAAAAUUGCGCCCCCGAAGCCCUUCGAGCAAUUGCUGGAGGAAAAGUUGGCAGAUAACCCCCCAACUGGAGCAGCCGUUAAACCAAAAAAACCCUUCCUGAGAAAGGGUCAGGGCUUGGCUAGGUUCAGAAUGGGGCCGUGUAGUUUAGUGAACAAUCAACUGCGAGUGGUAGGGGCGAGAAAAACGGGGCUGAAUCGGCCCAAACGUACCUCAACUGCUAAGCAACAAAACCAAGCAGCUGAAAGGAAGGGCAUUCUGAAAAAACCCGCCCAUCCUGAAGUGGAUCUGAGUCCUUUAACAGUGCCAGAUUUUGUAAAACCGCGUGGAACGUGGAAAAAUGUCUUUGAGACUACCGGCAAGGAUUCACCGAAGGAUUCAGGCGCAAUUUCUAGAGACUUCGAGCCGGAUUAUGGAAUUGUGGAGAACUACGAGGACUUCCGGAAAAGUCUCGGCUUGGACGAAAUCGCCCCGCUUGCGGCCGGUGAAACUGUCCAGACUGAUUAUUUGUACAAAACCCCCAGUAACAACCACAUAAUGAAAACCCCAGAUAGUCAAAGUGAUGCUGAAGAAAGCGAGCGGCAAAAUUGCGCAGAUUCCCAUUUCUUCCCAUUGAACAAGGAAAUUUUGCAAACCGUCAACGACUACGCCAAAUCGUACUUUGGCGGCCAAGUUUCCCUCCUUUCCAAUGAAAUCCCGGGCGAAUUAUCAGGAUUAAAUGCCCCAAAAACCGAUAAACCUCUCGGGGAGUUUACUCUAGAGGAACGCAAGAUGGAAAAGGAACUGAAGAUAUUUGAAACAUUAGAGGCCAAAGUAGGCAACAGCUCGUUUUGUUCGACGAACACCAGCAUUGCGAAUUUACUAGCUAGUACUAGUACGCCCCAAAAAACGCAACUAUGGCUCGGAGACGAGGAAAAUAUUCAAAAUGCCCUGACAGAGGAUGAAAGCUUGGAUAUAUCCGAAGACGCAAUGUUGAAGUAUAUACCAGAAAACAUCAAGAUCAAGCUGCAGGAAGUGUGUAGGCAAAGGGACGUUCUUCAGCAGUUUCUGAUCAACUUACAAAACACCAACUCGCACCCUGAACCAGUAACCAAGCUGGACAAAACAAUUUCCACCAGCACAAGUUUCUCCGAUGAAAACACCCGCUGGUCUUCCAGAUCGCCGAGCCUAAGUGACAAUUACACGGAAUUCGAAUCAACAUGCGAAACUUCCAAUAAAAUCGAUGUCGGCAUCAACACCAGCUUUAACACUUUGCCGCUGGAUGAAACUAUCAAGGGCCCCCAAUCAUGCAAAGAGUGCGAGGAUUUGAGAGCGAGAUAUUCAGAGACCAAAUUGAGGGUAAACGAGUUUAAGGCGGAAAAUGCCGCCCAGAGAUCUGAGCUGAAAGACUUGCAAAAGGAGUACGACACGCUGAAGAAGCUGAAGAAAAAAGACGACGCCACGAAUGAGGAACGGCUGGACAAACUGGAAGAGGAACUUAUCAGCGAGCGCAAGAAAUUUGCAAAGGAGAGGAUAUUUUUCGAGAAUUAUGUGAAAGAGGCCCAAAAUAGACCAUCGAAAAAAGACCGCGCGGAAAUCCAGAAACUCAAACAGGAACUAGCAGACAUUAAGGAAUUGGUGAAACUGAAAGACACCAAAAGCGGCGCCACUCAGGCCAGACUAAGAACGCAAGUGAAACAACAGGAAAAGGAAAUUUUCGAACUGAAAUCUACAGUAGAGAAAUUGCAAAGGGAAAACGCCAAAUUAACGGCCAGUCAGAAGUACACGCGGCGACCGCAUGAAGUGAAAAUGCUGCACGAAAUCAACAAAAAUCUAUCAAAACUGACCGAGAAAACCUUGACAAAGCCACUAAACAAGUCCGGCCAUGGCGACAUAGAGGACCAGGAAAUAAAUGUUGAUAGGAAACAUGACAAUAUCAACGGGCAAUCGAAUAAGGAGAAUGAAAAGGUUGUGAAGAACAUAAACAAUCAGGAAAUCGGACGCGAUGUCUCGGAGAGAAAAAUGGAAAAUAGAGUCUCCUUCCAAGACCUGCCAAUGAACAGUGAGUCAAUUGAGCGAGAGUAUCAGAGCAUAUUUGGAAACUUUGCUAGUCCUCGAAAUGUUAACUGCUCUACCAGUGUAGAAAAAACUGAAAAAACCCUUGCUGACGGUUCAAUGGAGGUUAUUUAUAGCAAUGGCAAUCUCAAAACAAUAACCGCCGAUGGGAAAAUCAUUAGAAUGAAGUAUUUCAACGGCGACACCAAGGAAACCAACUUGAACAGCCAAACGAUCAAGUACUAUUAUGCGGCUACUGAUUUGUGGCACAUUCAGCACCCUGAUGGCACUGAAGUAAUGGAGUUUAAAGACGGCCACAAAAGCACCAAAUACACCAACGGAAAAACCGAAGUUGCGUACCCGGAUGGGUCAUUAAAAAUAAUCAAUGAGGAUGGAACUGAAGAGCAAACCUUCCCAGAUGGUCGGAAAACGCUGAAGAAUCUGCAAGGCGAGCAGAUCAUUUUCUUGCCUAAUGGACAGAGGGAAAUCCACACUCAGGAAUACAAGAGAAGAGAAUACCCUGACGGCACAAUACGGACUCUCCAUAAGGACGGGACUGUUGAAACUGUAUAUGCAAAUGGAAGAGUGCGGCUCAAAGAUGCCAAUGGUGUUCUGCUGAUGGAUACCCAUCAAACGUGAAUAAUUUGCCUGCUUGCAAUGUCCAGUCCAGUUCGUCCAGUGGUUCGCUAAUAGUGUAAAUAUAAAGUGUGUUGAUGUUUUUGUGUGUGUUGAGGAGAAUUCAAGCCCUGCCGUUGGACUAUGAUGCGGAUUCUAUGCCAGAUUUAUCGUAUUU